rnacentral:lncRNA from 1 species
GGGACCCACCAGUGGCUGGAGCGGUAGCAGGAGGGGAUUCACCAGCGGCUGGAGCGGUAGCAGGAAGAUUCGAUCUCGUCCUGGACUGAUCCGAUUUGGCGAUGGAGACUGGGACGAGGCAGGGCACGAGGAGAGUAGCCGGCGUGGAGAGCUGCCGCUACGAGAGACAGAGAAAAGAAGGGGCGGCCACAAAGGACGACGACGAGGCGAGGUGGAUCAAUAGCACGAGUUGCGGCGUGCAAAAAAAAUUAACUAGCUCUAAUAC